AGUGAACGCUGGCGGUAGGCCUAACACAUGCAAGUCGAACGGCAGCACAGUAAGAGCUUGCUCUUACGGGUGGCGAGUGGCGGACGGGUGAGGAAUACAUCGGAAUUUACUUUUUCGUGGGGGAUAACGUAGGGAAACUUACGCUAAUACCGCAUACGACCUACGGGUGAAAGCAGGGGAUCUUCGGACCUUGCGCGAUUGAAUGAGCCGAUGUCGGAUUAGCUAGUUGGCGGGGUAAAGGCCCACCAAGGCGACGAUCCGUAGCUGGUCUGAGAGGAUGAUCCGCCACACUGGAACUGAGACACGGUCCAGACUCCUACGGGAGGCAGCAGUGGGGAAUAUUGGACAAAGGGCGCAAGCCUGAUCCAGCCAUACCGCGUGGGUGAAGAAGGCCUUCGGGUUGUAAAGCCCUUUUGUUGGGAAAGAAAAGCAGCAGGUUAAUCCCCCGCUGUUCUGACGGUACCCAAAGAAUAAGCCCCGGCUAACUUCGUG
rnacentral:rRNA from 1 species